CGACCUGCGCAGUUGGCCUUGUGAAGGCCGUGCCCGCGGGGUUAGCGCCAACGCUCGGCGUGCGAGGGUGAAGCCCAACGCUAGGGAGGGAAGUCCAGUCAGCUUAAGCCAUGGAAGGAAUGGAGGUCGGUGGGGGCAGAAGAACUGCAGAAGGCCUGUCUGGGGAAAGCACAGGAAUUUGGGAGGAACCUAUGGGCCACUCAGAAGUAUGAACAUUCAAGAUGUUUGGAGAAGAGCUUUCCCUCCGGGGCCAGGUCAGUUCCAGCUCUGCAGCAGAUAUAUUGAAAGGAUUGAGUGUGGAUACCUAUUCAGAGUCUGAAAAAAGAUGUAAUCAAUCAAACCGGAAGCUCCUGGGCAGUGACUAAAAGCGUGGGCUCUGGAGCUACGUGAUAGCAUCUGCACGGACAUCGUGACAGCCACUUACCAGUUGUGUGGCUCUGAGCGAGUUUCCUAGGGCUGUUAUAACAAAGGACCACAAACCUGGUGACUUGAAACCAUAGAAAUGUACGACUUUGGAUCUGGAGCAGAAGCCUGACAUUGAGACAAGAAUUUCUGACACAUCAUGGGAAAAGCUGAAGAAGUCAAUCUUAGGGGUGUGUUUUUACCCAGGAGGUGGCUUGCAAUGGAUUAAUGGCA